AUCGAACGCUGGCGGCAGGCCUAACACAUGCAAGUCGAGCGAGCGGCGGACGGGUGAGUAAUGUCUGGGAAACUGCCUGAUGGAGGGGGAUAACUACUGGAAACGGUAGCUAAUACCGCUUACCAUCAGCUGUGCCCUGUUGGGAUGGGCUAGUAGGUGGGGUAACGGCUCACAUAGGCGACGAUCCCUAGCGGGUCUGAGAGGAGGACCAGCAACACUGGAACUGAGACACGGUCCAGACUCCGACGGGAGGCAGCAGUGGGGAAUAUUGGACAAUGGGCGAAAGCCUGAUGCAGCAAUGCCGCGUGUGUGAAGAAGGCCUUCGGGUUGUAAAGCACUUUCAGCGGGGAGGCGUUACCCGCAGAGAAAGCACCGGCUAACUCCGUGCCAGCAGCCGCGGUAAUAC
rnacentral:rRNA from 1 species